rnacentral:rRNA from 1 species
UACAGAGGUCUCAAGCGUUGUUCGGAUUCAUUGGGCGUAAAGGGUGCGUAGGUGGCGCCGUAAGUCAGGUGUGAAAUUUCGGAGCUUAACUCCGAAACUGCAUUUGAUACUGCGGUGCUUGAGGACUGGAGAGGAGACUGGAAUUCACGGUGUAGCAGUGAAAUGCGUAGAUAUCGUGAGGAAGACCAGUGGCGAAGGCGGGUCUCUGGACAGUUCCAUGACACUGAGGCACGAAGGCCAGGGGAGCAAACGGG